AAACAAUAAAAUCCUCUAAUAAAGUUUAUUGUCUACUACCAAAGUAGCCAUCACAUUCAAUAAUAAAACCCACCUUGCCAACUAUGGAAAUGAAGAAAAUCUCUCUUGUCCUCGUUGUGGUCGCCGCCUUGAUUGCGGUGGCUAUGGCCCAAGCUGCCCAGCACACGGCCACAGCCGCCGCAGCCGGGGCCCAGGCGACACCAACAGAGACUGUGACCACGGCACAUCCGGCGACUACAGCAACUCCGGCUGUGACCGUGACCACAACCCAUCAAGCCCCGGCUCCUGCCCCCAACGGCGUGAAUGCAUUCAAUCCCACGGUUGGUUCCAUAGUUGGAGCUUCCCUCUUAACCUUCCUGGCCUUCUAUUUGCAGUGAAUUUGAGGAAGAUUAGAGAAGCGAAGCUACCUAGGUGGAGAUCCUAGUUAAUUAUUUAUAAUCAUAAUAAUAAGUGAUUUGUUUUCCUUUCAUUGUUUUUCCUAGCUAACUAUGCAAAACAUUGUGUAGCUAAAAUGUUUAUUGCUAUUCUCCUCUUCAUGUAAAUUGUGUCGAAGGAGUAAUGUAAGUUAUGCUAUCAUCUAUAUCAUUAAGUUCGAUAAUCUUGAUUCGCAUUUUUAUUUUAUUUUAUGG
rnacentral:lncRNA from 1 species